CACAGGCACCAUUUUCCCCCAAACUGCUGCUCCUCACUCUGAGAUCUUUGGGGAUUCAUUUCUGCACCUUCAUGUGGUAAAUGAUGAGGCACCUGGUUAACGAUGGCCAUCUUUCUCCUCCAUUAUCACUGCUCUGGAUAUGUGAUGAUCAGCUGAAUACUAAGCACCAUCACAUUACACUGACCAAUCAGCUCUCAGCAGGCAAAUGACUGCUUUCUGACCGUUAAUAAGGCUUAAUGUAAAUAAGACAUAUUUUAUAGACAUGGAUGGAAUCGACUGAGCACACGGCCCUAAAGGGGGACAUGAAGGAGCCAUUUUUCACCCCCUGUAACUUAGCAGUCAGAAGGUUCCAGAUCCAGGCUCACUGGUGGUUCAGGCCCAGGUUUUAUAGCUUAGUGAUGAGCUUUCUUUGGACAAUGGUGUUAAACACUGAACUUUUUGGAUUCUCACAUACUAGUCCUUACUGUACAUUGUCAUGAUGAUGAUGGUAUUAAUAGACUCCUUGCACCAUUCCUACCCUCUAAGACACCUACAGGCUCCCAUGUAGGCGAUUUUCACGUCUGUAGAUUAUUUUGCUACAACCUUCCUGCCUCUCUGAUACCUCAGACAGGACCAUCCUCCAGGAGCAUCAUUUGGAAGACAUUUUUCUUUAUCUUUAUGGCUUCCAUCACGAUUGGUGUCCACUCAUGUGUCCUUGGGUUCCUAUGGGAGCCAAUGACAGCCUUCCUGCCACAGGACACUCAGACAGUACAUGGGAGAAGUAUUUUGCUGUGCUGCCAGAGAUGGUGCCAGAUGUUUUUGCCAGAUGUCCGGGAGCAACUGUGAAGAUUCUCUCGUGUCCCAAAUCCCACACCCUAUUUAUUAUGACGUCUACAUGAACACACAGUAGUGAAGUGUGACUGCACUCUGACUGGUGGCCCUCACUGUGUGUUACAAACACUGAUGGCUCCUUAAAACACACACAAGCUCCAAAACCACCACAAAGCCAGAUGGAGGGACGUGUCCCGUCUCAUCACACGCUUCACCACCACGGAAACUUCAUUUCCCACAAGUCCUGAAGGGACGUGUCCCGUCUCAUCACACGCUUCGCCACCACGGAAACUUCAUUUCCCACAAGUCCUGAAGAUAAAGACUUUAUCCUUCUGUCGCCUUCACCGACAGAGCUGUAUGGACUUCAUACACAUCACCACACACGUCCCCACAUUGACACGUGUCCUGUCUGACAUCACACGUCCUCACACUGACACAUGUCCUCUCUGUCAUCACACACGUCCUCACACUGACACGUGUCCUGUCUGACAACACACACGUCCUCACAUUAACACGAGUCCUCUCUGUCAUCACACACACAUCAUUAAUAGCCACAUGUGUUAUUCAGUGUGUUAUUAGUGAUGUGUCCUCUCUUGUGUUUGAUGUGUUUUCUGUAUUUAUUCAAAGAUUUUAACAACAUGAAAAAAAAAAUAAUAAUUCUACUCGGGCACGACUAACAUUGUCCCUGCACC